GACGAACGCUGGCGGCGCGCCUAACACAUGCAAGUCGAACGAGAGAUGAGGAGCUUGCUCUUCAAAUCGAGUGGCGAACGGGUGAGUAACGCGUGAGGAACCUGCCUCAAAGAGGGGGACAACAGUUGGAAACGACUGCUAAUACCGCAUAAGCCCACGGCUCGGCAUCGAGCAGAGGGAAAAGGAGUGAUCCGCUUUGAGAUGGCCUCGCGUCCGAUUAGCUAGUUGGUGAGGUAAACGGGCCCACCAAGGCGACGAUCGGUAGCCGGACUGAGAGGUUGAACGGCCACAUUGGGACUGAGACACGGCCCAGACUCCUACGGGAGGCAGCAGUGGGGAAUAUUGCACAAUGGGGGAAACCCUGAUGCAGCGACGCCGCGUGGAGGAAGAAGGUCUUCGGAUUGUAAACUCCUGUUGUUGAGGAAGAUAAUGACGGUACUCAACAAGGAAGUGACGGCUAACUACGUG
rnacentral:rRNA from 1 species